UGUGACAUGAGGAGAGUGAAUAUCAGUUUGUUCACAAUAUCCUGCUAUCCGAGCAAAUGUUUCUUGCUUUUUCGGGUACCCGGAGAUUGUGAUCCUUCCUUCAACAUAUCCACCAGUUUUUCUACCAGCCAAAACGUCCAUCAGGGUUGUCUUGCCAGCUCCACUGACACCCAUGAGAGCUGUAAGAACUCCCGGUCGAAAAGCACCCGUUACUCCUUUCAGAAGUUCUAAUCGUUCUUCAGAUCUCUCAGCCAAGGUUUCUUCAGAUAGAAUUGCCUGAGGCUUGCCAAAUGCUGCAUCAAACCAACCCAUUUAUUAGUCCAUGUUGAAUUCCAGCCUAUGACAUAGUAAGUGAGGAAAACCCAUAUACCAACUUCUACAACUGUGAUUGGCAACUUGAGGAUCCAUGUUGGUAAAGAGUAUGCCCAAGCAGGGAAGAAGAGAAAGUCUCUUUGCUUGUAAAAGACGGGAAGUUUCAUGAUGCUCAAGGCAUUUAAAAGUUCCUUCUUGUUGAUGCCAUACUUCUUAGUUGUCAAAGCGGCAGGGUGGCUCUUAGCUUUGUCAAAUGUAACAGCAAGCUCGUCACCAAGUUUCCGGCCAACGUGGAAUGACUGAAAUGCUUCUGCAAAUUCCUUGACGGUUACAAAAUUAUGAGGUUCGUCUUUGUUUGCCCAGUACUGAACCUGAUCUUUCUUUGAUGUCACCUAUGGUUUCACAACAAAAACAUUUGGGGAUACAAAGUUACAUUAUGUUCUAAAAAGCUUAGCAACAAGAAACUGACACAUCGUUUCUUUUGACAAAAAACAUUUUCCAAUGAAAACCAUUUUCUACAUAAAUCUUUACAAGACCUCAAUUCGGAAAACGUUUUUCA